rnacentral:rRNA from 1 species
UACGUAGGGUGCGAGCGUUAAUCGGAAUUACUGGGCGUAAAGCGUGCGCAGGCGGUUUUGUAAGCCUGAUGUGGAAGCUCCGGGCUUAACCUGGGAAUGGCAUUUGGGACUGCAAGGCUUGAGUGCGGCAGAGGAGACUGGAAUUCCCGGUGUAGCAGUGAAAUGCGUAGAUAUCGGGAGGAAUACCGAUGGCGAAGGCAGGUCUCUGGGCUGACACUGACGCUCAUGCACGAAAGCGUGGGGAGCAAACAGG